AUUGAACGCUGGCGGCAUGCCUUACACAUGCAAGUCGGACGGCAGCACGGGUGCUUGCACCUGGUGGCGAGUGGCGAACGGGUGAGUAAUACAUCGGAACAUGUCCUGUAGCGGGGGAUAGCCCGGCGAAAGCCGGAUUAAUACCGCAUACGAUCUACGGAUGAAAGCGGGGGACCUUCGGGCCUCGCGCUAUAGGGUUGGCCGAUGGCUGAUUAGCUAGUUGGUGGGGUAAAGGCCUACCAAGGCGACGAUCAGUAGCUGGUCUGAGAGGACGACCAGCCACACUGGGACUGAGACACGGCCCAGACUCCUACGGGAGGCAGCAGUGGGGAAUUUUGGACAAAGGGCGAAAGCCUGAUCCAGCAAUGCCGCGUGUGUGAAGAAGGCCUUCGGGUUGUAAAGCACUUUUGUCCGGAAAGAAAUCCUUGGCCCUAAUACGGUCGGGGGAUGACGGUACCGGAAGAAUAAGCACCGGCUAACUACGUG
rnacentral:rRNA from 1 species